GAAGCAGUAGUUGGUACAAACCCACAGAGAUAUGCCUUUACCGCUCGAGGUAUAUCUUUAAUUUUUCUUGUAAAAAGUUACAAGGCAACUAAACCCCCAAUCCCUAUAGCGACGGUCCGCGUUGACAUUACAUUACAUCGGUUAGUUCACGUUCCCCCCUUAUCAAAACUCCAAAAUCGCGUAACACCUCCAUUCGACGUAUAUUCGACGAGCCUAUACGUUUGACGGAGAGUGUGAAAAAACAGUUUAUUGUAUUUUUUCCAUUGCAUUGACACUUUACCGAAUUCCUGGUUGGAAAUUACAGAAAGUAAUAUUAAAAUUUCAUGGAAUAAAAUUACUGAUCCUGCUAGUCCUCCCAUUCAGUCAGACAUGUCAGUGCUUGAACCAGAUUUGAGCUACACAUAGUAAGUGUUAUCACAAGAGAGCAAUACACCCUAGCAAUUAUGUUUUACACAAUUUUUAUUGAACUGCGAGGGAGAAGAAAGGAGGGACGAAAAUGAAGAGACAGAAGUAGAAACGGAAAGACUUCAGGAAGAACCGUAUGAGAACAAUAAAUUACGUAUGGUUACAUUGCCACAUAGUGCAAGAGAAUCACCUCACAUGCAAUACAUGGUGAAGGCAUUGAAAUUGUAUUUCUUGGGCAAGGAAAAUUAAAUAAGAAAUAGAGGAAAAUCAUCACAGUAGGCCACGAUACUACACGAUUCCAAGGAUGAUAGGCCAUAAAACAUUCAAUAUAGAAUAUAAAUUUUCACAAUAAAUAUUAAAUAAAUAAAUGUAAUCGAAGUUA